rnacentral:rRNA from 1 species
CAUCGGAAUCUACCUUUUCGUGGGGGAUAACGUAGGGAAACUUACGCUAAUACCGCAUACGACCUUCGGGUGAAAGCAGGGGACCUUCGGGCCUUGCGCGGAUAGAUGAGCCGAUGUCGGAUUAGCUAGUUGGCGGGGUAAAGGCUCACCAAGGCGACGAUCCGUAGCUGGUCUGAGAGGAUGAUCAGCCACACUGGAACUGAGACACGGUCCAGACUCCUACGGGAGGCAGCAGUGGGGAAUAUUGGACAAUGGGCGCAAGCCUGAUCCAGCCAUACCGCGUGGGUGAAGAAGGCCUUCGGGUUGUAAAGCCCUUUUGUUGGGAAAGAAAAGCAAUCGGUUAAUACCCGGUUGUUCUGACGGUACCCAAAGAAUAAGCACCGGCUAACUUCGUGCCAGCAGCCGCGGUAAUACGAAGGGUGCAAGCGUUACUCGGAAUUACUGGGCGUAAAGCGUGCGUAGGUGGUUGUUUAAGUCUGUUGUGAAAGCCCUGGGCUCAACCUGGGAAUUGCAGUGGAUACUGGGCGACUAGAGUGUGGUAGAGGGUAGUGGAAUUCCCGGUGUAGCAGUGAAAUGCGUAGAGAUCGGGAG